rnacentral:misc_RNA from 1 species
AAGUCGUAACAAGGUUUCCGUAGGUGAACCUGCGGAACUUUCAGACACUGACUGUUGGGGAAACCAGGCCACUUGAUCAAUCGCUCAAUCUAACUCACCAAAACUGAGGUCCCUGAAUCAAAAUCUGCUCACAAUGAUUUACCAGGGAUUGCAAUUCUAAACAAGCUUCGAGAAACUCAAUGUUCACAGGGGGUUUAACGUUGGAUACGUGUUAAUGAUCCUCAUUGAUUGCAAUACGAUCACUAGAGGCCGACACCGGCGGUGAACAGGCUGCCGUGGCUUAGGCCAUAUUUACCCCACUACCAUGUAAUCGCCUCGUAGACUGCUGUUAACAAUGGAUAUCUUGGUUCUC